UUGUAUAGAUAGAUAUUUAUGCUUAAUUUGUGUUUGUGGUGGAACGCUUCUGUUUCUACAAUUCCCUUUCUCUCUCUCUCUUGUUUCUGACGACUAGUUGGAGAAAGCACUGAAAGUGUGAGAAAUGGCGGCAAUAAAUGCAUCAAUUAUUACGUCUUCCACAAGCAUUUCUAGCCAUGCAGUGCGUUUCCAAUACUAAUACAACUCGACUUGUUUCAAACACGCUUGGUGAGUCUCUUUGCUUUGGUCUCCGUUUCUCUUCAACUGCAAAUCCUUUAUGGGAUUUCGGUGGACUAACAGAUACUGUUUAGUGUUUACUAGAAUCUUUUCAUGACUUGAGGUUUGAGAUUCCAAAACAUUGUUCUUUGUGUUUCUUGGACUAUCCUGUAAUUACCUCAGUUGGAAAUUUAGAUUUUAGAACUAAAUAUUACACAAACUUCAAUUGUUACUCAUAAAUCUCUUCUCUUAGACUCUUACCUUAUAUAAAUAGACAGUUAGAAAUAUAUAUGCUUUUCUUACCAACAAAUUGCGCUAAAUUUUGUGAGAAAACACUUCUGAAAUUAAAGAGAUAAUAAUGGGGUUUCAUCUUAUUCCAAAGGAUAAAAGGACUGGACCGUAAAGAAUAGAAGUUCAGUCCAAGUUGUUACUCUACUACUUGAAGUAAAAUAGCGGCAACAUUUCAGUCUUUUUGGUUAUCAUUACGAUUCUUUAACAAGAAAGAUUGGCAAGCGGUAUAAUCUCUGUUUAUUGGUUUGCUUCUCUGUAGCUCUAUGUCAUUCUAAUUUACAUUACCAAUGUCUAAAGAUAAAUAAAAUUAAUUUAUCAUUCCAUUUUAAAUUCAUCAAAGAACAAAACCUUCUAGGAAUUCUAUUUCAAGAACAGGCAAUUAAUAUCUACAUUUUGUGCUAACCAUUUACAUAUGGUCAUUUACUUUGGUGAUGUGUGACCAAAUUUCUCAACUGCAUGACUAUAUCUUGAUACAUGAUAAGGGUAAUUUUGUAAUUAAUCCCUGACGAAACAAAAGGCGACGGACAUAACAAGGUUGUCAACUUCACUCAUGAGAGACAACCUUGUUGUAAAGUCUACAGCUCCACCCCAUACCUGACGGUUGCAUCUUGGGCACAGUAAGUUGAAGACAAUAAGCUGAAGAUAGUAAGCUGAAGACAGUAAGCUAAAGACAGUAAGCUGAAGAGAAUAAGAUGAAGGAGAUAUAUGAAUCUCUGAUGAGUCUGACAUGGCCUUGCUUGGUCUUUAGGCAUGCGUGUAUAAGGAAAUAUCUUGCGCUCUACGCUUACCUCUAAUCAAGAAGACUUUUAUAAUGAAAGGAUUUCGAAAGAUACACGGAUUAAAGAGGUUCUCUCCUAUAAGGAAAGAACUUCUGGAUCAAGGCAUGGAUUCAGCGCUACACUACUAUAAAAACCCCAAAACCCUCACAAACGAAGGUACGCACAAUUUCCUCCCAGCUCUAACACUCUAGAGUUAUGAACAAGAGAUUUCUCUAACUUUACCAUCGGAGGGUAUUUGGCCGGUACCACACCAGUACUCCUCUUAAGGUCUUCAGCUUUUGCGUUGUGCAGGUUCUUGUUAAGAGCACGUAAGGACCGUGUGGCUUACUGACGAUUUUUCGGCAUCAUCAAUACAAAUUUAGGUACAAGGUGGAAACAGGAUUGAAAACCCCAAAAUCAAAAUUAAAAAUAGCUAGAAGUUUAUAUCCUAGACUUCAAAUAUACAAUAGCUUCAUGUUUUCUUACGCAGCUAGCAGUUUCAUCGGAAAUUCAUUGCCACGGUUUUUCCUAAUGAAGAAGAGAGUUGUAAAAUAUUAGUGGGGAAGUUGUUGGGCUUUGUAUAGUCUAGUUUUGUUUGAUUCGAUUCGAUGACCUGACUUGACCUGAAUAAUAUUGCGUGGUUUUUAAUGGGAGAUUUACUGAGGCUUAGUCCAUAAAGUGGAGACUUGGGCUAAUAGGCUCAAGUUGGAGUGCUCAUGGACAAGCCUUUGGGGGUGGAAAUUUUUUUUGGCCCGUUUAGCCCAUUGUGAAGCUGCCUUUUGUAAUUAGGGUUUUUUAUAGAGUCAGUUGCCGUGUCUUAUAUAUAGAGAAAAUAUUGUAGCCGCAUCUGGUGUUGGAUUCUUCCCUGAAAAUAAUGAAAUCCUUGCAACUCCGUAGACGUAGGCAAAUUGCCGAACCACGUAAAUAUUGUCUUGUGCGUGUGAUUGUUUUUCUUUGGCGUGUGUUUUUUUUUUCUCUAUUUUUGUUUCUCACAGGUUGUGAAUUCGGUGUAAUUCCCUACAGAAGUCAGAGCUGCAGCAGCUGUUACGACUAGUCCUGUUGAGGAAACCAAAGAUAUCCGGCCCCACAAUUUCUAAAGAAACUUGCAUCAAGUUUAUCUUCUUCAAUUAGAAGAACAAUCAUCACCACCAUAGAUUGCACCAAGUUUUAUCAAUCUAUACGAAUAUUGCUACGGUCCAUCUUAGAACACUUUAGCCUCAAAUUUGGCAAGAGCCCCAUCACUCUAAUCUUUGGAGGUACAUUCUUGUACCAAACUUUUCUUACUUGUGAAUUUCUCUUCCUGCAUGUCUAUUUUUUUUUUUCAAGCCAAGUAGCUACCAAGACAACGACCUCAACAACAAUCUUGAAGACCAAGACAAUCUUGGCAAGGAAGUCUAUCUGUGAUACGAAGACUUGCUUGAAGAGGAAGACAAUCUUGACAAGGAAGUCUAUCUGUGAUACGAAGACUUGCUAGAAGAGGAAGACAAUCUUGACAAGGAAGUCUAUCUGUGAUACGAAGACUUCCUUGAAGAUGAAGACAAUCUUGACAAGGAAGUCUAUCUGUGAUACGAAGACUUCCUUGGAGAGGAAGACAAUCUUGACAAGGAAGGAGUGAUACGAUGACUUCCUUGAAGAGGAAGACAAUCUUGACAAGACAAUCUUGACAAGGAAGGAGUGAUACGAUGACUUCCUUGAAGACGAAGACAAUCUUGACAACGAAGUCUAUCUGUGAUACGAUGACUUCCUUGAAGACGAAGACAAUCUAGAUACAAUGACUUCCUUGAAGACGAAGACAAUCUUGACAACGAAGUCUAUCUGUGAUACGAUGACUUCCUUGAAGACGAAGACAAUCUAGAUACGAUGACUUCCUUGGAAGACAAUCUUGACAAGGAAGUCUAUCUGUGAUACGAUGACUUCCUUGAAGAGGAAGACAAUCUUGACAACGAAGUCUAUCUGUGAUACGAUGACUUCCUUAAAGACGAAGACAAUCUAGAUACGAUGACUUCCUUGGAAGACAAUCUUGACAAGGAAGUCUAUUUGUGAUACGAAGACUUCCUUGGAGACGAAGACAAUUUUGACAACGAAGUCUAUCUGUGAUACAAUGACUUCCUUGAAGAGGAAGACAAUCUUGACAACAAAGAUUGCAUUGAAGAAGAAGGCCACUUUGAGGAUGAAAAUUGUCUAUGCAAGGAUGUGUGUCCAUUGAUAUAUUGCAGUGGAGCAAUACUUGCAUAUGAGGAUAUAAUAACUUUUUUUUUUUUAUUGCAUGUCCAUGCCCCUUUUUUUUUAUAACCUUCUUUGCACCGUAGUUUAUAUUCUUUUGUAGAUUUUUUUUUUUUGUAGGUUCGCCCUAUCAUCAUGGUGCUCUUCAAAGACUUCUCUUCAUUCGGCAAGAAGUAUCUUGUUGUUACUAAAGAAUCGAAUGACACUAAGGAAGUAGACAUAUCAAUGCUCAUUGAAAGGCCGAUUAUUGGUCGAUUUGCGGAAAAGCGGCUUGAACUUAAAGACUCAAGAGACAUUGUUGAGUGGACCUAUGAUGUCUCUCGGAAUUCUGAUUCCCUUUCUGGAGUGUGGUCUUUGCAAUGGAACAACUGUCGAUGCAACAAUCUAAGGACGUGCUUUGGCAUCUUUGCAAUGGAUGUGCAUUGGCUUCUUGCUAUGAUACUUUUUAAAGGUAUAAAAUGAUGAGUACCAGACUUUAGCGAUACGGGGUGACACCAUUCAAAGUUUAAAUAUGUGAGAAGAUGACAUCAAAACUUCGAGGAUUUGAGGUGAUCCAACUCAACAAAGAGGCAACUCAGUCCAAACUUUAGAGAUGCAAAGAGGUGCCACCAAGUUUUUGAAGAUGCAAGGAGAUACCACCAAGUCUUUGAAGAUGAGAGGCAACACUGUGCAAACACCAAGACUUUAUACGUGAAAGGUAGAACUACUUAGACUUUAAAGACGAGAGAGAAAGCACAUUUUAGAGAUGCCAAGAGACAUUCUCACAAUGAUGUUUGCUUUCAUGGAGACUUUGCAUUCCUUCUGGUUGUAAUGUCUUACAAUGAUGUUAGCCUUCAUACGGUAGCAUUGUCUUCUUGUAGCGACUAUCUCAUAGUGAUGUUCGCCUAAAACUAUGAUUGCACUUAGUGUGACAUACCAAGUUUUGCCCGUGUUGCACUUGAGAGAGAUCGAGUCAUCACGUGGUUCAAGAAAGUUUUUUUUAU